rnacentral:rRNA from 1 species
GAAUCUGCCUUCUGGUCGGGGACAACCACUGGAAACGGUGGCUAAUACCGGAUGAGCCGAAGGGUAAAAGAUUAAUUGCCAGAAGAGGAGCUCGCGUCUGAUUAGCUAGUUGGUAGGGUAAAAGCCUACCAAGGCAUCGAUCAGUAGCUGGUCUGAGAGGACGAUCAGCCACACUGGGACUGAGACACGGCCCAGACUCCUACGGGAGGCAGCAGUGGGGAAUUUUCCGCAAUGGGCGAAAGCCUGACGGAGCAAGACCGCGUGAGGGAAGAAGGCUCUUGGGUCGUAAACCUCUUUUGUCAGGGAAGAACACAAUGACGGUACCUGACGAAUCAGCCUCGGCUAACUCCGUGCCAGCAGCCGCGGUAAUACGGAGGAGGCAAGCGUUAUCCGGAAUUAUUGGGCGUAAAGCGUCCGCAGGUGGCGAUUCAAGUCUGCGGUCAAAGACUGGGGCUUAACCCUGGAAAGGCCGUGGAAACUGAAGAGCUAGAGUGCAGUAGGGGUAGAGGGAAUUCCCGGUGUAGCGGUGAAAUGCGUAGAGCUCGGGAAGAACAUCGGUGGCGAAAGCGCUCUGCUGGACUGCAACUGACACUCAGGGACGAAAGCUAGGGGAGCG